UCCACCAGUUCAUCAAACUCCCUCUUUCCUUUGUAGAAAUGGAUCCCUACGUUGAUGGAGAAAAGGAUGAGUUCUUUAUGGAUAUAGAGAGGCAGAUUUUGCUUCUCAUGGCUGACGAUGGAGAGAGCUCGUUAGACGCGGCAUGCCGGACCCCUAAAGAGAGCAAAACAAGCCCAUCUUUACUCACUGAGGCAAGAAUUAUCUUCUGACUGAUAACUAGAGUAUCGAGUUCUUGUUGCUUAUUGUGAUUCAGGUCUUGGAAACUAUCUUUUUUAUUUUUCGAGUGCUGAGUUAUGAAGAAAUCUUGCAUGCUGCAGCAGUGGGACUGCGGCAUCAGCCGUAGUGCUUGCCGCCGGAGGCAUUCAAACCCACUAACACCACAACGCCUUAAAACGAAGCGGCCAGCAGCAGUUUUGUUGCCGAGAGAGAGGAAGGGAACAGGAGUCUUUAUUCCCUGCUGCUGCCCCCCUCCUCAUACCUGAAGGGCUGAAGCUGGGACUCUUGGUCGGAGAAAAGGAGCAGGUUCUUGCAAAUUAAGAAGAUUUGAAGGUCAAGCUAUGUGAAAAUAAUUAAUGUGUCACGUAGAAUUAUUUGGUGAUAUUUCUUCGAGUUUACCAUCUUCACCUGAUUACGAUGUUUGCACUCCAACAGCAAGAGGGUUAUUGCUAUCCGUAUUCUAAUGUAUCACUUGUGUCUCACUGUCAUAUUUAGAGCAUUAAUGAAAGAUCAACACUUUGACUAGAAGGUGUUGGUGGCUCAAAAUACUUCAUCA